GCCGUUUCGUUUAAACAAGACUUGAUUAAAGGAGGACACUCGGUAGCUACACUGUAGCCUUCAAAGGACGCGUCCUACCUAGCAUGCAGCCUUCGAAACGAGACACAGCCUGUGUUAUUAAAAUUUUGUACUCUAUCCUCAAGGUGACAACGCACGUCUCUUUGUUGUUUUUGAUCGCUCACUCAGUCUCGUGGCGAAGGAGAAACUUAACAGUGCCGAAAACUAAAUAUGAACAAAAUAACAAAGCCUAAGCUGGUUAAGAUAAGAAGUGUAAACCUGGCAAAAACAUACUUAAUUGCGGCGAUUACCUUAAAAGAGCUGCUUAAAAAUGGAUGUAAUUUGUUAAAGGUACAAAACAUUUUCGUUAAGUUUAAGUGACGUGAGAGACGACGUAUAGGCCUAAUGUGUUGUGAUCCUGCAGUAAGACACUAGAGUGUGUAUUUUUGUCAAAAGAUAUCCACUCCAGGUGUUCAGAUCUGCUUAUACAAGGAUGGGACAAUAGUAACCGAAGAAUAUUUCCCAAAUCUUCCCGAUAAUAUAGAACUGAGCUGGAUUGGAUGUGAGUAGUGUAUCUCAUUGACGGAAAAUAGGUAUUUGAUUGUGAAACUAUGUCUGGAAGCAGUAAACAAAGAUAGGGUACAACGGGGCUAAAGGCACCCCUUAAGGACAUUUUGACUUUUAUUCUGGUCACAAAAUGUAUCAAGGUAAAAAUAAAAAUCGAUGUAUUUUUUUUAUUAUUGAAAAUUGAUGGAGCCACAUAAUUUGUGUGAAAAGAAAUAACACAAGGUUGUUUCGAUUCAAAUUCAGUAAAGAAUAAAAUAAAUAUACAAGUGGUGAAUGACUUCCCCUUAGGGAGUUUAAAAUGAUAUUGUUUAGAAAUAAGGGCAGUAGUUAUAGUGCAACAUAUUUCCAACUAAUGCAAAUAAUUUUGAGGCACCAAAAUACUUUUUUGAGUAACAAAUUAAAAUGAUGCCAUUGCUUACUCAAAAUAACUACUUUACAACCAUUUCCUGUUAAUUUCAGACACAUUUGCCAUUUUGUUACAUCUCAAGUAUCCUAUAAACAAAGUAAUCUCUAUAAUGUUUGAAUCAGUUACUGUGAGCUCACUUUGAAAAAAUGCCAUAACAAAUAUAUUCACUCCACUGUUUAAUAGGGGCAUUUAGCCUCACAUUUCCUCAGUUAUUGAAACAUUUUUGAUUUAAUGACCUUAAUCAAAACAGAAAAUGAUAAAUACAUUAAAAAAAAAAUAAAAAAAGUAUUUUGUCUCAAAAGACAUGUUAGUUUCAGGGAUUUUCAUUAGCUACAUGCAUUUGCGCCAUUUAAAAAAAAUAAUAACAAUUAGAUCAAAAUUGCAUAAAAAUCAACCUAUAGACACUACAUGCAAAGAUCUUAUGGAACAUUUUUCAGUGUAUAGUGACAAACAGGUGUAUAGGAAAGUGCCGUGUUUGUUUAUGUUGUUAUUUAGUAUUUUGGGAGAAAAUAAAAUCAAUGGAGCCUUUUACCCUAUUGUACCCUAUUAUCAGAAUGAGCUUUAUUGCCAAGUGUUCUCACGUACAGAAGGAUUUUUGAUUUCAUUUUCUUUAGUUUUUCCAUUGUAGUUUCCUUCUGUCUGAUUUGGUGGCUGAACCAAACCAGACAGUUAUAGAUGUGCACAGGACAGACUCUAUGACGGCCAAGUAGAACUGUGUCAGCAGCUUCUGUGGCAGGUUGAACUUCCUCAGCUGCCGAAUAUGAUAUGUGAUUAUGAUAAAAUAGUAACAAUAAACAAUCAACACAAGCUUUUUUUUAUUAUUCUAACUUCAUUUUUACAUAUACCAUUCUGAAAUGUCCACAUGGCACUUCAUUCCCUGCAGUUGCUUAUUAAAUAAAUCAAGUCCUGGGUUUGGACACACACACUGACUCAGAUCAGUGCAGCAAGGAUCUUGCCUCAGAUGAACAGUCUCCCAAAUGGCACAGAAUACUGGGUGAUUUUCUGAGGAAUUUGAAGGACAAUUCAGAAGUGGAGAACAGAGAAGAAGAUAAGGACUGGUUUGAAGGUUGAUGGAUAUACCCAGACUAUUCAGAAUGCAAAGGCAAAAAAUGAAUACAGAAAGGUAGUAGAGAUCCUGGCUGAGAAAUUGAAGUCUGCACGGUACCAUGGUGCCUAUUUUGUCAGGUCAGAGAAUGAGGUUUGCAGACUCUGCACUGAAAAGGGCUGGUUCUCAUGCCAAGUCGCAUGUUACAUUCACUCUCAUAUCUCACAUUUCUAAUUGAAUAUGAAAUCAUAUACUGUAUAGACAAGAUUUUUUCCACUUUUCAAGUAAAAUAAACAAUGAAGCUAAAAUAUACAAGUAGUAGUACUUUUUAAAACUUAAAAGCAUUUAGCAUUCUUGCUGGGCUAUAUGUUUAGAUGUCAGCAUUUGUUUUUGUCCCAGUGGUAAAUUUAUUUUAUUGUAUAAGCUAUAAAUAACUUUUGCUCCCACAUGGUGCCAAAUUGAUAAGAACGAGUGCGCAUUUCUCCCCUCAAACCUGUAUGGGAACUGCAAGAGCAGAAUCCUCUUCAGCACCUGGAAUCUAGACCACCUGAUAGAAAAUAGGAGAACUGUCAUUCCAACUCUCGCAGAGGCACUGAAGGGUAAAAAAAUCUGGAUUAUUUCUACAAACUGCUGUUUACACAAGAGAAUCUCAAACUGGUUCACAUAGUUUGCCAUAAGGGGCCCAUGAGCUCA